UGCAGUCGACGGUAACAUAAAGUGCUUGCACUUUGAUGACGAGUGGCGCACGGGUGCGUAACGCGUAUAGAACCUACCCUGUACAGGGGGAUAGCCCAGAGAAAUUUGGAUUAAUACCCCGUAGUAACUUGAUAUGGCAUCAUAUUAAGUUUAAAGUUUUCGGACGGUACAGGAUGGCUAUGCGUCCUAUUAGUUAGAUGGUGAGGUAACGGCUCACCAUGGCAGCGAUAGGUAGGGGCCCUGAGAGGGGGAUCCCCCACACUGGUACUGAGACACGGACCAGACUCCUACGGGAGGCAGCAGUGAGGAAUAUUGGACAAUGGGCUAAAGCCUGAUCCAGCCAUGCCGCGUGCAGGAAGACGGCCCUAUGGGUUGUAAACUGCUUUUAUACGGGAAGAAUAAGGGACACGUGUGUCCUGGUGACGGUACCGUACGAAUAAGGACCGGCUAACUCCGUGCCAGCAGCCGCGGUAAUACGGAGGGUCCGAGCGUUAUCCGGAUUCAUUGGGUUUAAAGGGUGCGCAGGCGGAACUUUAAGUCAGUGGUGAAAUCUUGCCGCUUAACGGUAAAAUUGCCAUUGAUACUGAAGUUCUUGAAUAUGGUUGAGGUAGGCGGAAUGUGUUGUGUAGCGGUGAAAUGCAUAGAUAUGACACAGAACGCCGAUUGCGAAGGCAGCUUACUAAGCCAUAAUUGACGCUGAGGCACGAAAGCGUGGGGAGCGAACAGGAUUAGAUACCCUGGUAGUCCACGCCGUAAACGAUGUUCACUCGCUGUCUGCGAUACACAGUAGCGGCUUAGCGAAAGCAUUAAGUGAACCACCUGGGGAGUACGAUCGCAGGUUGAAACUCAAAGGAAUUGACGGGGGUCGCACAGCGGAGGACAUGUGGUUUAGUCGAUGAUUGCAGUCGACUGCAGUCGACUGCAGUCGACUGCAGUCGACUGCAGUCGAC
rnacentral:rRNA from 1 species